GUGGGUAUGGUCGAUGUGGCAGGUCCUAAACAUAAAUUGGGCUUCCGAGUGUCAAAUUGCAUCUGGUGAAGACUGAAGACUUCUAUCCUGGAAUGUCUUUGACCUCACUUGCCAUUUGCAGUGAAGAUUUAUCAGCUCCAAAUGGAAAGGAAUGGGAAUUGAUUGUGAAGGCAAACAUCAGGCUGUUAUCCUGAAAGAGAAGCAAAACAGACCUA
rnacentral:lncRNA from 1 species